rnacentral:rRNA from 1 species
AUUGAACGCUGGCGGCAGGCCUAACACAUGCAAGUCGAACGGCAGCACAGAUGAGCUUGCUCUUUGGGUGGCGAGUGGCGGACGGGUGAGUAAUGUCUGGGAAACUGCCCGAUGGAGGGGGAUAACUACUGGAAACGGUAGCUAAUACCGCAUAACGUCGCAAGACCAAAGUGGGGGACCUUCGGGCCUCACACCAUCGGAUGUGCCCAGAUGGGAUUAGCUAGUAGGUGGGGUAAUGGCUCACCUAGGCGACGAUCCCUAGCUGGUCUGAGAGGAUGACCAGCCACACUGGAACUGAGACACGGUCCAGACUCCUACGGGAGGCAGCAGUGGGGAAUAUUGCACAAUGGGCGCAAGCCUGAUGCAGCCAUGCCGCGUGUAUGAAGAAGGCCUUCGGGUUGUAAAGUACUUUCAGCGGGGAGGAAGGCGGUGAGGUUAAUAACCUUGCCGAUUGACGUUACCCGCAGAAGAAGCACCGGCUAACUCCGUGCCAGCCGCCGCCGUAA